AUUUUGUCAUGGGAAGUCUAGAAAGCUGAAUUACUGCAAGGAAGCUUUCAGUCAUGCCUGGUAGGUCCUUUCUGUCUGAUGUCUGGUCCCCCAAUGAGUCGGGUUGACUCCGUUCUCAAAGACACUUGCAAAAAUGAUAGCACCCAGAUAGCUGCAGAAGUUUCAGCUAUGUAUUCACUGAGGUUCAAAUCCAUCAGCACAGAGGUCCUGCCUCUCUUUUCCCUAGCAUCUCCUGUAUAAGACGAUGUCAUUGGCUCUGACUGGAUUCUUACAUCCAAUAUAACACUUAAUCAUGUGGCCCAGGAAACAGACUUCAGGUGCAAGCCAUUUCUGGAGCCAAGGUUGAGGUUAUUACCAUAAGCCCUAUUAGGACAGCGAAUUCCAAACCCAUAACUGAGUCUUAUGAAAACAGCACUGCCUGUAAUGUUGAUGAAAAAUAUCAAAAGCAUUAUGAGGCCUUGAAGACUGCAUUAACAGUUUGAUUUCCAAACCUUGUCUGAGAGACUGCCAAAUUGCUUAUUUUCUCCAUUUCUCUCUAACAUUUUGUCACCUCACAGGCUUUCCAGAAUUCCAAGAAGGAAAAUAGAGCAUAUAAAGUCUGAGACACUCUGCUCAAAUAUUGAACAUCAACAUCAGCAGAGUACUUGCAACUCUGCAUACUACUCUCUCCUUACAACCAUCUAGACAGUCCAGGAGAGUGGGUAACAGACUACGGCCUGUGGGCCAAAGCUCAUAGGCAGAAGGAACUUGCCCUGUUUCAGAUGAGGCUUUGGACUGUGGACUUUUGAGUUAAUGACGAAAUGAAUUAAGACUUUGGGGGACUGUUGACAAGGCAUGAUUGGUUUUUGAACAUGAAGAUAUGAGAUUUGAGAGGGACCAGGGCCAGAAUGAUAUGGUUUGGCUCUGUGUCCCCACCCAAAUCUCAUCUUGUAUCUCCCAUAAUUCCCAUGCGUUGUGGGAGGGACCUGGUGGGAGAUGAUUGAAUCAUGGAGUGGAUCUUUCCUGUGCUGUUCGGAUAAUGAAUGGGUUUCAUGAGGUCUGACGGUUUUAAAUAUGGGAGUUUCCCUGAACAAGCUCUAUUCUCUUGACUGUGGUCUUGUGAGAUGUGCCUUUUACCUUCCACCAUGAUUGUGAGGCCUCCCCAGCUACAUAGAACUGUGAUUCCAAUAAAGCUCUUUGUUUUGUAAAUUGCCCAGUCCUCGGGUAUGUAUUUAUCAGCAGCAUGUAAAUGGGCUAGUACACAUUUACAUACUGCUAUGUUUGUUUUUGUGCUGCAGUGGCAGAGUUGAG
rnacentral:lncRNA from 1 species